rnacentral:rRNA from 1 species
GAUCUGGCUCAGGAUUAACGCUGGCGGCAUGCCUAAUACAUGCAAGUCGAAUGGUUAGCUUGCUAACCAUGGCGAACGGGUGAGUAACACGUAGGUAACCUGUCUUCAAGACGAGGAUAACCAUUGGAAACGAUGGAUAAUACUGGAUAGGACAAAUCCCCGCAUGAGGAGAUGUUUAAAGGAGCAAUCCACUUGAUGAGGGGCCUGCGGUGCAUUAGUUAGUUGGUGAGGUAACGGCCCACCAAGACGAUGAUGCAUAGCCGGACUGAGAGGUUGAACGGCCACAAUGGAACUGAGAACGGUCCAUACUCCUACGGGAGGCAGCAGUAGGGAAUUUUCGGCAAUGGGCGGAAGCCUGAACCCGAGCAAUGCCGCGUGAAUGAAGAAGUAUUUCGGUAUGUAAAGUUCUUUUAUUUGGGAAGAAAAAACAAAUUGACGGUACCAAAUGAAUAAGCUCCGGCUAACUACGUGCCAGCAGCCGC